UACAGAGGUCUCAAGCGUUGUUCGGAUUCAUUGGGCGUAAAGGGUGCGUAGGCGGCGCGGUAAGUCGGGUGUGGAAUCUCGGGGCUUAACUCCGAAACUGCAUUCGAUACUGCCGUGCUUGAGGACUGGAGAGGAGACUGGAAUUUACGGUGUAGCGGUGAAAUGCGUAGAUAUCGUAAGGAAGACCAGUGGCGAAGGCGGGUCUCUGGACAGUUCCUGACGCUGAGGCACGAAGGCCAGGGGAGCAAACGGG
rnacentral:rRNA from 1 species